ensembl:lncRNA
GUUUUAUUGACUUCCAACCACUAAACCAAUAAAAGCUGCAAGCAGCGUUGGACGGGUCCUCGCAUCCGAGCGGCCCGACUGGCCCACGCAUAUCCACCAGGAGGCGCUGCAACUGAGAGAGUAAAGUUUCAGGCAGAUUGGAGCAUGUACAGGCUACUUACACAGCACUUCCUGUUUCAUGGCGAGAAAUCCAAAAUGGCCGCCAGGUGGCGCAUAGAUAUGAUUAGGGCCGGACUCUGAUCAUACAUGUAAAAUUUCAGGCAGAUUGGAGCAUGUACAGGCUGGUUACACAGCACUUCCUGUUUCAUGGCAAGAAAUCCAAAAUGGCCGCCAAGUGGCGCAAAGAUGUGAUUAGGGCCGGACUCUGAUCAUACAUGUAAAAUUUCAGGCAGAUUGGAGCAUGUACAGGCUGGUUACACAGCACUUCCUGUUUCAUGGCAAGAAAUCCAAAAUGGCCGCCAAGUGGUGCUAUGACUGUCAGUAUCGACCUAUGGACGUGAUUAGGGCUGGACUCUGAUCACACAUGUAAAGUUUGAGGCAGAUUGGAGCAUGUACAGGCUAGUUAGAUAGCACUUCCUGUUUCAUGGCGAGACAUCCAAAAUGGCCACAUUCUGGUGGUCACCAUGGCCACGCCCUCAGACUGUUGCAGAGCGUUUUGAUAACCUUUGAUCAACCAUUACUGGUGUCCAUCCUGACCAAAUUUGAGCUCUCUCGUGGUUACGCUGUUUGAGUUAAUAGCUUUUGAAAAUGUCCAAAAAUGACAAAACUGUCCAAAAUAUGAAUCAUAUUUCAAAAUGGCCGCAUUCUGUGGCUCGCCAUUUCCACGCCCUCAGACUUUUGCGGAGCGUUUUGAUAACUUUUGAUCACCCGUGACUGGAGUACAUCCUGGCCAAAUUUCAGCUCUCUCGGGGUUACGCUGUUUGAGUUUAUAGAUUUUGAAAAAUGUCCAAAAAUGACACAAAAUUGUCCAAAAUAUGACUUAUAAUUCAAAAUGGCCGACUUCCUGUUGGAUUAUGGGUAAUGAUGCAUGAGGCUUUUUUGUGCGUCUUGACGAGUUACAUAUGUGUGCCGAUUUUCAGAAGUCUAGGUCGAACGCUGUCCGGGGGCUGAAUUUUGUUAAUUUUCUAGGGGGCGCUAUAGAGCCAUUUUAGCACGCACGCGUGCCAUUCGCCUAAAAUAUCAAAUUUUUCGCCGGUCCUGAUGUAUGUGGCGAUUUUCAUGCGUUUUCGUGUAUGUUUAGGGCGUCAAAAAGGCCGAUUUCCCGGCGGACGAAGAAUAAUAAUAAUAAUAAUAAUUCCUAGGGUUACAAUAGGUUCCUCGCACCACUUCGUGGUGCUCGG